rnacentral:rRNA from 1 species
AUAGCGUAUAUUAAAGUUGUUGCAGUUAAAAAGCUCGUAGUUGAAUUUCGGGAUUGGCGCAUCGGUCGUGCCUCACGGGGUAUGAACUGGUGCAGUCAAUUUCUCACCUUCUGGAGAACCGCGAUGUCCUUAAUUGGAUGCCGCGGGGAACCAGGACCUUUACUUUGAAAAAAUUAGAGUGUUUAAAGCAGGCAUUUUUGCUUGAAUACAUUAGCAUGGAAUAAUAAAAUAGGACGGCAUGGUUCUAUUUUGUUGGUUUCUAGGACCACCGUAAUGAUUAAUAGGGAUAGUUGGGGGCAUUAGUAUUCAAUUGUCAGAGGGGAAAUGCUGGGAUUUAUUGAAGACUAACUACUG